AUAUUACAAUAUCAUGUGAAAUUAUUAUAUUCUCGCCUAAUUUAAAAGCACACAACCAUUACGAUCACAACUAAAGAUACAAUCAUAUGCGAACCUAGGGCGUAAUAAUUAUUUUUAUAGGGCUUUAUAAAAACAUAUUUAUGUACGUUCUUAUAUUAUAAUAUCUAAGUAUUUUUCUAAUAUAUUUACCUACUAGAAUAUUUGAUUAGAACAGUGUUUG